GGUAAACUGACACAGAGCAACAAAAUGAUGUGGUUUCGUUGUUAUGCGGUGGAGCCGGGGCUAGACCCCUUUUCCUCUAAAAAAUAUGGAGCAAGGCCAUGGGUGUACGAUGCUGAUGCUCACCAGCUUCACAGGAUACGGAGCAGGCAGCUCCUGGUGCCGCGAUUCUGAUGGAGCAGGUCUUGAUGCGCAAACGACGGCCAAAUCGAUCGCCCGGCGCGGGGCGGGCGAGGCCGGCAUUCCGUCGAACAGAGCGCGGGCGCCCGCUACUCUCUCCCCGACGGCGAAGCCUUCAGUCCCUGUUCCUCCACGACGGCGACGCGCUCGGCCGAGGCAGAGGCCCCCACGCGGCAGAGGCGCUUGCGGCGUGGCGCCCCGAGCCGCGGCCACCUGCCUGCCCGGAUUCCAUCGCCCCACCUCAGUGCUCGCGCGCGCGGCGCGAGUGGGCGCGAGUGCGGCGCGAAUCCGAUCCCCCCGUAUAAGAAGAAGCGGGGGUGAGUGGGCGGAUGGGAACCCAACCCGGCUCGCGAAACCGAAUCCUCCCUCCCCCGCCUCCUCCGGGUGCUGCUUCGGAAUCGAGAUACAUCCUUCCAGGUAGGUCGGCAACGCAACAAUGGAAGAAGGGAAAGACAAGAAUAACACCACUGAGAAGGGGCUGUUCUCAAACAUGAUGCAUGGGUAUCCACCUCAUGGAGGAUACGGAUACCCUCCUCAAGGUUACCCGCCACCGGGGGUCCCCUACCCUCCUCCCGGGACGUAUCCUCCUCCACCACAAUAUGGGUACCCUCAGCCAGGUGGCUACCCACCUCACGGUGGAUAUCCCCCCGUCGGCUACCCUGGCUACGGGGGUGGCCAUGGAGGACAUGGCUAUGGCGGCGGGCACAUGGGCUAUGGAGGCGGCUAUGGCGGCGGCGGCCAUGCUCUCGGGCACCACCACGGAGGCCACGGCUACGGCCAUUAUGGUCACGGAGGCCAUGGCUACGGACACCACGGUCACGGACACUACCACGGCGGGCACGGCUGGGGGCACCAUGGCCAUGGAUAUCACCACCACCACCACCACGGCAAGCAUGGUUACGGCAAGUUCAAGAAGUGCAAGUGAUUUGCGUCUGCGCACAGUGAUUGCGCCUCAUCAACUAUCUUAAGUAAGCUUGGUUCCAGAAAUACCCCCGCGGCUGGGAAGAGCGCUAGCAUGUCUCCUGUGAGACUGCGAUGAUGCAAUGCUCCUGUACUGUUACUAGAUAUACCAUAUAAUUUGGUGCUGUAUAGCUAAUAAGGCUUGAUAAUAAGUAGCGGAAUCAGAUACCAGUCAUUUGCUGCAGUUCAGACGUUCUCUUUCGUCCGUACACAGAUGUGCUAGCUAGAUAUCAUGCUCGAUCAGAUUAGUGCUCAGUCCAUGCCCCUAGUAUGCACGUCAUGUGAAGGCCGGCGCCUGGGUGCGACCGUGGUGAUCAUCUUGCGCAGCCGCGCGGCCCAAGGCCGGCGUUCAUCAUGUAGCAGUGGCAGACUGGCAGCCGCCGGGGAGGCGAGCUCCGACGAGCAGCGACUCCCUCCCUCAUGCCAUGUCAGUUCCUGGCCGCCAUCGAUACAACAAAAGAAACAGUAUGGUUGGAUAGUCAGUGUAGACUAGCAAGAAUUUGGGCAAUGCACCUUGAGUGCAGCCGAUGAAUGACUCGCUGUAUAUAUGGGCAAGGUACAGGAGGU
rnacentral:rRNA from 1 species